rnacentral:rRNA from 1 species
AUUGAACGCUGGCGGCAGGCCUAACACAUGCAAGUCGAGCGAGCGGCGGCCGGGUGAGUAAUGUUUGGGGACUGCCCGAUAGAGGGUGAUCACUACUGGCAACGGUGGCUAAUACCGCAUACUAUCGGAUAACCCAUAUGGGAUUAGCUAGUUGGUGGGGUAAAGGCUCACCUAGGCGACGAUCUCUAGCUGGUCUGAGAGGAUGAUCAGCCACACUGGGACUGAGACACGGCCCAGACUCCUACGGAGGCAGAAGUGGGGAAUAGUGCACAAUGGGCGCAAGCCUGAUGCAGCCAUGCCGCGUGUAUGAAGAAGGCCUUAGGGUUGUAAAGUACUUUCAGCGGGGAGGCGUUACCCGCAGAAGAAGCACCGGCUAACUCCGUGCCAGUAGCCGCGGUAAUAC